rnacentral:rRNA from 1 species
UACAGCCAUAUCACAUUGAAACAACAGUUCCUGUAUGAUCACCGAAGUUAAGCAACAUUGAGCCUGGUUAGUAUCUCGAUGGGUAACUACUUGGGAAUACCAGGUGCUGUAAG